rnacentral:tRNA from 1 species
GGCGGCGUAUCCGAAUUGGCAUAGGAAGCGGACUUAAAAUCCGUCGGGCGAAAGCCCAUUGUGGGUUCGACUCCCACCGCCGCUACCA